UUGCCGAGAGGGAAAGAGCCCAGAUCGCCGACUAAGGUCCCAAAAAUCCGCGCUUAGUGUGAAAAGGGAUGUUGGGGGGCGCACUGACAGCCAGGAGGUUGGCUUAGAAGCAGCCACCCUUUAAAGAAAGCGUAAUAGCUCACUGGUCAAGCGAACCCGCGCCGAAAAUAUAACGGGGCUCAAGCGUGGUACCGAAGUCGCGAGAGUGGCAACACUCGGUAGAGGAGUAUUCUCUGGGAGAUACGCGGUGUAUCGACAAGAGGCACUAACGGCCCAGAGAAGAGCUUAUGCAGGCAUGAGUAGCGAUAAACCGGGUCAAAAACCCGGUCGCCGUAAGCCCAAGGUUUCCUGGGGAAGGAUAAGCCUCCCAUGGGUUAGUCGGGUCCUAAAGCUGAGGCCGUGAGGCGUAGGUGAUGGCAAGCUGGUUAAUAUUCCAGCACCGUGGCGGUGUUUAGCGAAGCAGGGACGGAGAAGGAUAGGCUCAUCCAGGUGUUGGUUUACCUGGUCCAAGCCCGUAGGCUGCACCCGUAGGACGCGACAGCGAC
rnacentral:rRNA from 1 species